UACGAAGGGGGCGAGCGUUGUUCGGAUUUACUGGGCGUAAAGGGCGCGUAGGCGGCCACCGCAAGUCGACUGUGAAAUCUCCGGGCUUAACCCGGAAAGGUCAGCCGAUACUGCGGGGCUAGAGUGCAGAAGGGGCAACUGGAAUUCUCGGUGUAGCGGUGAAAUGCGUAGAUAUCGAGAGGAACACCUGCGGCGAAGGCGGGUUGCUGGGCUGACACUGACGCUGAUGUGCGAAAGCUAGGGGAGCGAACGGG
rnacentral:rRNA from 1 species